rnacentral:rRNA from 1 species
ACUCCUACGGGAGGCAGCAGUGGGGAAUAUUGCACAAUGGGCGCAAGCCUGAUGCAGCCAUGCCGCGUGUAUGAAGAAGGCCUUCGGGUUGUAAAGUACUUUCAGCGGGGAGGAAGGCGAUAAGGUUAAUAACCUUGUCGAUUGACGUUACCCGCAGAAGAAGCACCGGCUAACUCCGUGCCAGCAGCCGCGGUAAUACGGAGGGUGCAAGCGUUAAUCGGAAUUACUGGGCGUAAAGCGCACGCAGGCGGUCUGUCAAGUCGGAUGUGAAAUCCCCGGGCUCAACCUGGGAACUGCAUUCGAAACUGGCAGGCUAGAGUCUUGUAGAGGGGGGUAGAAUUCCAGGUGUAGCGGUGAAAUGCGUAGAGAUCUGGAGGAAUACCGGUGGCGAAGGCGGCCCCCUGGACAAAGACUGACGCUCAGGUGCGAAAGCGUGGGGAGCAAACAGGAUUAGAAACCCGAGUAGUCCCAUGAU